GAACCAUUUUGGAAAAACUCAGGCUGCACCUGCACACAGAUAAGCAAUUUGUAUAAUUAGUGAAAUCCUAGGGAAAAAAAAAAGGUAUCUCCCUUUCAGGCAUAUAUGUGGUGGAAAUAUGCACAGGGCUGAGGAUGGCUUAUCAAAAACAACCCACUUUAUACAAGGAAAAUAAGUGGCACUGUGUGCUUGCCUGGAGGCAUACCCACAGCUACAUAAGAUAAGGGGAGUUGCACACACAGGUUUACUGAUAAGAGAAGUUACUCAAACUGCUACAGACAUGAGAGGAGUUUCUUAUAAAAGCUUUCGAAUUCAGAUGUAACCCAGCAAUGCACUCAGACUCCUCUCUGCUGUGGAGAGCUUUUUUUUUUUUUUUUCAUAUUAAACUUUCACUCCAACUUUAUCUUUGUGUUUACAAUUCUUAAUUUUUUUGUCUUGGAUAAAGAACAAAAAACCUGGAGUACUUCUUCAGACAACAAGAAACUUCCAAAUUAAGGUGCAUUGGCAAGAAUGCAACAUAUUUUGAUCCAUUGGCUUGGAAGGAGGGAAUUCAUCAGAAGGAGGACCUAAGCCAACAUGUGGGAUUGGAAGAAGGUCCUAGGAAAAUUCAAGAUUUCUGGCUGGGACUAACCCUCAGUGUUAUCUGAAGGUCCUCAGUGUUAUCUGAAGACUACUCCAAUCCUUGACAGCCCACCAGUGUGUCAGCACAAGGACCUUCCCUCUUACAUUUUCCUUCUUUUCUCCCAUGGCUAUUAUGUCACCUAUCUCUUCAUUGUAUACAAUGUUGCAGGUGUUUUUUCAGCCUAGAGAUAUAAUCUUGCUUGGUAGAGUAAGUUGGUGUCUUUUUUUGUAACCAGGAAUGUAACUUCAAGAAACUGUGUUUUUGUGAUUUCCUCGAGACAGAGGAGUUCAAGAUUUCUGUCUAAGUAUUCACUUAGUAAGGUCUCUUCUACCCCUCAAUAAUAGACAUUCAUGACACUAUAUGGUCAAAUAUUUCACCCCAAGUGAAUAUCCUCUUUUCUCUCCAUUUGGAUUGUUUCUUCCCUCUACAUUUGGGUUGGUUUUUCCCUCCCCAUUUGGGUUGGUUUUUCCCUCCAUGUAAAAUCCCAGCAUUGCCCAAUAAAUUUAAACAAUUCUUUAUGAAACAAGUUAAUUUUCUUGUGCUGGGAGGAAUAUUAUAGGAACAGCCAAUUAAACUGAAACCUCUUUUUCUAACUUCUGCCUGAAAGGAUGGAGUCACAGUUUUUACCUAAUAUUUCAGACCCUACAGCACUACGUAGGGGAAUGGGAUUUAUUUUUCCCCACUGGGAGCCUUGUUGGCCCUUUGUCUAAAAACUCUGGUUAUCUCCCUUUUAUAUCCCUCUAUUAGAGACUAGGCUUCAUGCCCCAUUUGAAAACAGCAAAGCUCCAGCUUUAACAGUAAGAGGACGGCCAUUCCAUUUAUAUGUUCUUUUAAGGCACCUGUUCUACAUUCAGCUACAUUGGCAUUUACACCAGAAAUGGGUUUUAUGUUUGAAAGUGAAUCAGUCUCAUUCUUUGGGGUUUCAAUGUUUCACUAGGGCCAUAGCAAGGGAAACCAAAGAUAAUACUAAAACACUUCCUCCAUUAAGGAGGGAAGUCCAGCAGAUGCCCAGAUGCAACUGUCACAUAGUCUUUCCUGAGACCCAUCCAUCAAGGAGUGACCCAGACCCAAGUCUACGAGGUCAAAGAAUAAUCACCAUCAGAGGACUAAAGCCACUUGGGUGAGCAUGGCUUGCCCCAUUGCUUAGCUCCUCUGCUACCAUCAUUUGAAGGUCACACUUGAAACCACUGGUGGCAUAUUCAACACAAUGCUGGGACCCAGGAGCCAAGGAGAAAUAACAGUCUGUGGGACACUCCUACUGUCUUCUUCUCCUCCCUGGGUCACACUGAAAAAAAGCAGGAGACAGAGGGAUGCCUCUUUUCUUGUCUAUUUUUCUAGAGAGGUGACAGUCCAACUUUAAUCUGCACCCCUCUGAGUGCACUCUGAAACUUUUAGAACUACUUUGACCCGAUGACUUUGAAGAAAAAGGUGACCAUUUUCUUUUGCACGAGAGCAUGACAUUUUUUACUAAACCUUCACAAGCAUUAUGAGAUCAACCCAGCUUUUUUAACAGUCAUGGCAGGUAGUCCCAUGGAGAAUAAUUCCGCAGAGUUAGAAAAGCAAUUUCUAAAGAAACCAUCUCAGAAUGCCCCUUAUUAAUCACCACCUCAAGUUUUCUUUUCAUUGCAGGAACUUACACAAAUAAAGGGGGAACUAGGUAGGUUCUCUGAUGACCCUAAUAAACAUAGAGAGGUUUUCCAAAAUUUGACCCAAAUGUUUCAUGUUACAUGGAGAGAUGCUAUGCUACAUUUAAGCCAAAACCCUAACUGUUACAGAAAAGCAGGCAGUCUUGCAGGCAGCAGAAACAUUUGGAGAUAAACAGCGUAACUCCUAUAGCCAGUCUAAAAAUCUUGAAAGGAAAAAAUCUAAGGGAUAAAAGAGGAUAAGGAGAGACAGGGUCCCCAUUCCCAAUAGUAAGAAAAAUGAGGCUCCCUUAAAAGCCCUAAUUGGAGCCUGAGUGAUCUCAUAAAUGAGUGGAAAUUAAAAGAAUUUCUGAUAUACAUUUAAAAAGACUUGGAAAUAAGCAGAACAAGACCUCUUAAUUACUCUCAACUGUAUGAGUUGCACCAGAAAAUAUAUGGAAAUCCACCUGCCUUCUUGGAGAGACUGAGAGAAGCUUUAGUAAGACACACUUCCCUGUCUUCCAGUUCAGUAAAAAACAGGUUCAAUACUCAGGCAGCCCCUGAUAUCAGAAGAAAGUUGCUGAAAUAGGCCCUGUCUAAAAAUCUUUCUAGUUUUUCUCACCAAACAAUCCCACAUUCCUAAGCCCUCUCCACUGUACUGUCUCAUUCACAAUCUUGCAAAACUUGACAGAAGCAUUUAGUCUUUUACUGUAACAUGGCCUGGUCCCAAUACACAUUAGAUAAUGACAGUCGAUGGCCCAAAAAUCAUACCUUUGACUUGCAAAUUCUCAGGAAGCUUAACAACUUUACAGCGAGGGAUGGCAAAUGGCAACUGGUUCUCUAUAUUCAGGCUUUCUUUGAUGUCUACCUUAAAUGUAACCUUCCACUGUGUCAAGCUUGCACUGCUCAUAAAAUCUUUCUUUUUAAUAAAAAUCCUCCCCAGGUCUUUCCUUACUAUGAAACUCCUUUUAACCCAGUAGAUAAAGCCCCUCUGUAUUCUUAUUCCCUGCAUCGACUCCUUGCCCAUCCAAAUCCUCUACCCCAGUGGCCCCUCCUGCCUCCAAACCCUUAGCCCCCAACCCAACUACUCGUUCUCCAUCUGUUACCAAUUCAAAAAUCACAUCUGCCUUUCCCUUUCUGGGAAGUGGCUGUGGUUAAAGGCAUUGCUCACAUUAAUUUCCCUUUCUCCAUGUAGGAUUUGUUGCAGAUCAAAGCUGAAUCAAACUUGACUUACAAAGCAAAAAGGCCCUUGGAAAACUCACUGCAUAUUUUGUGUACACAGUCCCUGUACAUGGUUUCUGAUCUGUGGUAAGUAAAAAAAUUACUUUCUAGCAGGCUGGGAAGCCCAAGUUAUCUUGGUCCCUCAAGAGAAGAGAAAUUCUCCAACUAAUAGGUAUUGGACAGUAAAAAUCCAUGGCUGGGCUUCGCUUUAAAAAGGUCUUAUCUCAGAUUCCUUCUUUGAAACAAAGUGCCAUAUAAACCAAUUUAAUAGGCAGAUGUAACAAAUAAUUAUUCUUGCUGCACUGUAUGCAAAUAACUGUCAAGUAUAGUAAAGCAAACCAGUCCUAUUAUAAUUUGUCUUUUAAUAAAAAUGGGAAACUGGAGAGACAAAAUUAUGUUUCAAAAAUGAUAGCACAUGGAUUGUUGAAUUCUAGUGUUUCCUAAUGUUUUUCUAUUUUUAUUAUUUUCCACUGCUUAAAUUAAACUCUAAUUUUUCUGGAUAUAAGUUUCCAUAUUAAGCUGUGAUUUCUUAAAGCCCUACAAACUGAAAAGUAAGUGUUUCAUCAAGUACUGCCUCUAACACAGGGCCACCACAGGAAUAAAUGUCUUCACUGCUGGUGCUGACAACUAAUAACUGAGGGUGCUGAGAAAACUUUCCCCCAAAGUCUAGUGAGUCCAUGAAAUGCAGGGUGAUUAAGAUGAUAUCUGAUACAGGAGUCAAUUCCUAAAUACAUCACUCAAGUCAAAGCCUAGAAAUCUAAGAAAGCAACCCAAACAGCCCAAAGAAACACCCUAAAUAUCAAUGUAAAAAAAUAGAAAAUAUUAAGCUGAAAAUCAUAAAAGAUAGGUGACUAAGUGAAAACUACUCAUUUUAUUCAGCCUCACACACCUCACCAAAUACUUUUGGUGUGUCUACCUCUUUUUUUAAGCCAAAUAUUAAAACAUUUUAAUGGAAAUUAUUUACUUUGCCACCCUUGUGGGAACUGCCUUACUCACUGCUAUUUGCAGUAGAACAAUAUGCUAUAGCAUCCUCAGGGUGGAAUAUCAGACAAAAAAAUCUCAAUUAUUAUAGCAUUUUCCCUAAUUAUUAUCCAGAUAGCAGGAAUAAUAGUUACUAAAAGAAAGUAACACAUGAGUUCUUCCAAACACAUGCUUCUGCCUCUCAUCAGGUAACAAAUGUUUCUAUAGCAACGAAUAGGGCUUAGUAAAAAACACUGCUAAAAACUUAAAGAAAAGGCUAAAAAGCUAAGGGAAUAUCAAAACAACCGAAUAGAUUCUUGGUUUGGAUUCAAAAUCAUAGGAUGAGUCAUCCCAUUCCUGGGACCUCUUCUAAUAAUAUACCUGGAACUAAUGUUCUUACCUUGCCUAAUUAACUUUUUUCAAAGAUUUUUAACUGAAAAUAUCAUGGCCAUUUUACAGACAACUACCCCAAAAUAUCUACAAAUGACAUUGCUCCUACAGUAAACCCAAGACCAGAAAACUCUCCAUCCCCUUGUCAGCAGGAAGUAGCCUGCAGUCCCUCCUCCUUUUUAUAACCAUAGGAUCUGGAUUGACAGAGCAGGACCACCACCUUGUUGGAACAACCCCUCAUUCUAAAGCUGACCUCAAUAAAAAACUGCUUAAAUCCAAAGGGUGUCAGCCUAAUGGCUAAGGUCAGCAUGACCAUAAACCACAGAUAACUUCUCUAACCAGAAACAUUCCAAACUCCUCCCCAACCAGAGAUAGGGUAGUCCUGAGAUAAACUCUGCUCUGGCUGGGAAAAUGCUAGCCCUGAGAUAACCCCCUUCUUGGUCAGAAAGAUGUCUGCCCCAAGAUAACCUUACCUCCUGCCAGAGAGAUUCCAACUCCGCUAUAAACUUCUCCACACACAUAAACAUUCCAAGCUUGUGAUAAGCCCCCUCAACCUAAAAGUGAUAUAUACUCAGCUUUUAAGAGAAAGUACUCCUGACUGAAAUUGGCCAGAAGCACCUCUCAGGUUUCCUCUAAAGAAAACCUGUCUUUACCUGCCAGCCGCAUUUCUUGUUUCUUUCCUCUUUAACUCCUACAGAAAUAAAAGCACAACAAGGUUUUCUUAAGAUUUCAAUGUGCUUUUUAGAAAAUCUUGUGAAGAGUUAUAAAAGGUACAUGAAAAUCUCACAUCAUGAUCAAACUGGUUAAAAUUGAAUAGGAUUACCUAUAAGCUUUCAUUAAAAAUUGGGGUUAACCAUUAAUAGUAAAAUAAUGCAAGGGUGAAAUUUAACUUGCUUGAACAGGGUUUUCAUGUAAUAGUAAAGACUGAUGAAUGGUUUUUGGCUUUUCAAAUUUUGACUCAUCAUUUUGGCAAGACAAAUAACUAUGUUAAUCUAAAAUUGUAUUUCAUAACAUCAAGUGUUUUAAAUUUCAAAUAUAUUUAACAGGCUUACCAAAAUCAAACUACAGUCUCAAGGUUGUCUUUCAUGACCUAGGGGUUUGGGUGCUACCGAGGACCCCUGGAGCAUCCAGAAGAGAGUUAAACAGGAUUAUUUAACAUGUUUGCAUACAUGAUGUCAGGCCUCUGAGCCCAAGCUAAGCCAUUAUAUUCCCUGUGACAUGAACGUAUACAUCCAGAUGGCUGAAAACAACUGAAGAUCCACAAAAGAAGUGAAAAUAGCCUUAACUGAUGACAUUCCAUGAUUGUGAAGUUUCUACCCCACCCUAACCGAUCAAUGUACUUUGUAAUCUCCCCCACCAUUAAGAAGGUUCUUUGUAAUUCUCCCGACCCCUGAGAAUAUACUUUGUGAGAUCCACCCACUGCCCACAAAACAUUUCUCCUAACUCCACCGUCUAUCCCAAAAGCUAUAAGAACUAAUGAUAAUUCCACCACCCUUUGCUGACUCUCUUUUUGGACUCAGCUCACCUGCACCCUGGUGAAAUAAACAGCCUGUUGCUCACACAAAGCUUGUUUGGUGACCUCUUCACAUGGAUGUAUGAGACACAUGCAAUUGCCAAAAUGAUAUUUAAUAUUUUCCAGGUUAUAUUUUGGGCAAUAAUAUUAACAUAUAUUUCAAAAUCAUAUAGGAUUUCUAAGGUUCUAGUAUCUGAACAUGUGCUAUUAAUCACAAUUAAGUGUGUUAAGUUGGUUUAUGGUGAACCAUAAAAAUAACCAAAUUUGUCCAACAUGUUCUUGACUGUAACUACCCUGGAAAUUUUGUCAUUUACUGACAAUUUUUGUCUUGUUUCAAUCUUCUUCUUCUUAAAAAAAAAUAGAUUAUAAUCAGCUGUAGAACUUUAACAGGGAUUCUUUCAAAUGCUGGUUUCUAAUAACAGAAAAACUUACAGGACACAUGAAAAGUAGAAACUGAACUAGUAGAAAACUAAAGCAAUAUUCUUGACUUAUGCUUGGAACAUUGCUGAUUCUUAUUUUGUUUUUCAGAGUCAAGGACACUUGUCUUGAGCUAGCUACACCCUUUCACAACUCAGUAAGGAGUGAAGACUGAUUUUGCAGAGCCAAUAAAGGCCCCUGGGGAAACUGGCCUCAUAUCUUGUCAUGAAGAUUUUAUACAGGUUUCCUAACCUGUGUGCUCACUGCUGCAAAGAAGAACAAGCACACAGGCAAAAAGUUUUCCCAGCAAGAAUGCCAGGGUGAAAGGAAAGAUCAAUUGGACCAGAGCACAAGUGCUGCUCCAGUUACUUGGCAGAGUACCUAAUAGUGAUCCACCACAAUACCACCAUAUAUCUGUUUGGGAAUAAACAAGGGCAAGUUGACUGCUUAAGAGUGAUGACAUGCAACUCAGUCUCUUGCAACACCACCUGAGAAAAGGAAGCACUAGCAGGAAGAACAAAUUGAUGGAGAGGAAAAGUGAUGAAUACAGAUAAGAAGCACAGCUGGUGGAGGCUCAUGUGCCAGUUUACUGGGCCUCAGGACAUUCUCCUCUAGAAGGAGGAGACAGCAUGACCCCCACUUUCUUUUAUUUUAUUAUAAUUUAAGUUUUAGGGUACAUGAGCACAAUGUGCAGGUUAGUUACAUAUGUAUA
rnacentral:lncRNA from 1 species